AGUGAACGCUGGCGGUAGGCCUAACACAUGCAAGUCGAACGGCAGCACAGUAAGAGCUUGCUCUUACGGGUGGCGAGUGGCGGACGGGUGAGGAAUACAUCGGAAUCUACUUUUUCGUGGGGGAUAACGUAGGGAAACUUACGCUAAUACCGCAUACGACCUACGGGUGAAAGCAGGGGAUCUUCGGACCUUGCGCGAUUGAAUGAGCCGAGGUCGGAUUAGCUAGUUGGCGGGGUAAAGGCCCACCAAGGCGACGCUCCGUAGCUGGUCUGAGAGGAUGAUCAGCCACACUGGAACUGAGACACGGUCCAGACUCCUACGGGAGGCAGCAGUGGGGAAUAUUGGACAGUGGGCGCAAGCCUGAUCCAGCCAUACCGCGUGGGUGAAGAAGGCCUUCGGGUUGUAAAGCCCUUUUGUUGGGAAAGAAAAGCAGCAGGUUAAUACCCCGCUGUUCUGACGGUACCCAAAGAAUAAGCACCGGCUAACUUCGU
rnacentral:rRNA from 1 species